UACGUAGGUGGCAAGCGUUGUCCGGAAUUAUUGGGCGUAAAGCGCGCGCAGGUGGUUUCUUAAGUCUGAUGUGAAAGCCCCAGGCUCAACCUGGGAGGGUCGUCGUGGACUGCACCGCUUGAGGGCGGUAGGGGCUGGUGGAAUGCCUGGUGUAGUGGUGAAAUGCGUAGAGAUCAGGCGGAACACCCGUGGCGAAGGCGGCCAGCUGGGCCGUCCCUGACGCUGAGGCGCGAAGGCGUGGGGAGCGAACGGG
rnacentral:rRNA from 1 species